CAGAAAGGUUGCAGAACAAUUGAGAAUCUCUGCAUUUGGCCCUGCAGUUGAUUAAUUUUUUUUCUGGUGACGGAGAUGAAGCGGUCCGCUGAGACCCUCGGCAAUUUUCAAGCGGUCCACGCAAAACAAAGUUUGAGAGCCGGUGCACUAGAGGGUUGGGACCAAAUCUGUGGGGACCUGGACAGGUUGGAAAAAUGGGCAGACCAGAAUAGGAUGCAGUUGAACAAAGACAAGUGCAAAGUGCUGCACCUAGGGAGAAGGAAUCACCGGCACGCUUACAGGCUGCGGGAGGGCUUUCUCAGCAUCAGAGCAGCGGAAAGGGAUCUCGGAGUCAGCGUUGAUACCGAGAUGAGCGUGAGUUGUCAACGUGACAAAGCGAUUGGUAAAGCUAACUGCACUUUAUCAUGUGUUCGCAGGUGCAGGACAAACAGGUCUAGGGAGGUGAUGCUUACCCUCUAUGCAACAUUGGUCAAGCUGCAGUCGGAGUACUCUGUCCGGUUUUGGACGCCACACUUCAAGAGGGAUGUGGACAACCUUGUGAGGGUUCAGAGGAGGGCAAAAGCUAGUCCUUGCGCUCCUGUCCUUGGAACCAGCUUAUCGGUGAGGAGGCGCAGCGUGACAUUCGGCACCAAAAGGCCCGGAGUAGAAGGGCCCCCGACAUCUGUCGCAUCUGCAACGGGUCCCUGCGUGAGCUACUGAGAAACGAGCGUUUGGGGCCCGCACCGGUCUCUCGGAAACAUCCGAGCCAGCCCUGGCAGCAGGCGCCUGCGCGUUCCUGCCUCGGACACGGUCAGGGAACGCAACGCGCCAGCAGUUGUCUCGGCUUCUGACCGGACGCACGCUCGCAAGCAUCCAAAGCUAGCACCUCCAGCGGCUGCAGCUGUUGCUUCCCAACUACUAGGAGAGCCUUGCAAAAGCAAUGGCCUGCCCGUGGGCCAGGCUGAUACCAGUGGCUGAGACCCAGAGACUUGCUGUUGUACCUCCCGGUGUCUGGUUUAGGUGUCGAGCACUUGGAACUCUGGCAGCUUCAGCACAUAUUAACCUCUCGUCCUCCUGUGGCCAACACCACGGAGCCCGUGACCCUAAUGUUUCUGUCAGCCUCUGUCUCACCCUUCCCCUGAAGGCCUCUCAUGAAAUCCCUUGUCCCAUCAUAGUCUGUAGGUUGGCUCCACCGGUAUUUCCCAGCCGCACGUGGAGAGUUGCAAGGAAGUGUCAGCGAGGAGCUGCAGCGUGAAAGAAGUGGGACUUGGAAAUAUCCAAGGGACCACGGGUAACAGGAUCCUGGCUGUUGUGGAGAGACUUUGGGUUGGAGAUGGAUGCAAAGAAGUGGAGGCGUGCCAUGGUGAUGGAGGAUAGAGCAGGAGGAGUAGCGUGAUGGAAGGUGGACUUACCUCAAGCGGGGGUGGUGUUUUGAGUGGGGGUGUCUGGGUGGGCCGGGAAGUCCCUGCUCUGGGUUGGUGUCCUGAGCUGCACGCUCCCAGGGCAGGGCUACUCAAGCGGAGGGCCAUGGCACCCAGGAGUGCCUCUGAGAUGAGUGGUGUAUGGCUGGGCUGGCUUGGCCCAGAGUUGCUCUGAGUCUGUGCAAAGAUCUCCAGGUUGCGGUGGGACAGAGGAUUGGGUCUCUGCCUGGCUGUACCUGUUGCCACAUGCCUCCUUUCAGUGCUGGGAAUUGCAUUUAUGUCUCAUCUCUCUGGGUGUGUCACUGGUGUCUGUCUUUGUACUUCUGUUCUUAAAAAUCACUGCAGCACUUGUUACUUUGUUCUUCCCAGGACUGAAAGGAGGGUUGUGUUUGCAUGUAAAUUGAUCCCCUCACUUGGGAGGGGUGUAGCUGCAGCCCCCUGCGGUUUGUUAGUGGGGCCAGUGCAAGCUGCUGUUGUACCCCUGGUUGGGAGGGAGGGGGUGCUGUCCCGUUGGUGCUGUGAGACCUGCGCAUAGCGCUGCAAGUGUUAAUUGCUGUUGUUCAUUUUUGGUGGUGUGGACAUGUUUGGCAAGAUGACCAAAGUCUGAUCCUGAGUGGAGAAGAGCUGAGGAAGAGGUGAAGAGCCCUGGAGCUGGUAUGGCGUGGAAGGAGUUGGAGACGGCCUGAAGCCAUGCUCACGUGAUCACCUGGAGCGAGCAGGUGCCUGCAUCGUAUCUGGGAAAGGGAUAGCAAGCAUGAGGACUGAUGGCGCACAAGGACUGAAGGCGCAGCGUGAUGCCAGGUGUGGAGCCAUCUUCUGAAGGCUUGAGGGCUGUGGAGCAGACUCUGUGAAGAUGAAGUGAAGAGUCCCAGAGAUGGUGCAGGAGGAAACGGGCAGCCCUGUUGUGACUUCCUGAUUUGCGUGGUGUGAGGCCUCUUCCCCUGUGGCAUCACCUGGCUGGAGUCUGGGGAGGUUUUGUGUGUGUAGCUUUGCAGGUGGUGCGUCUCCGCUCCCACUUCUUGCUGUGAGGAUGCCUGGAUAAGCAGCAGCAUGAUUGUGGCUGGGUGGCCUCAAUGUUGUGGGGGAGAGGAAUAGAAGCGAGGCUUCUGCGGUGGUGGUAGAAGAUGGAGGAACUGGAUCCCGAAAGGAGGUCCCUGCCUCCCCUGUGUGGAGAGGAUGGCAAGGAGGGAGGAGAGUGCGCCGGAGGAAGAGGAGCGCGAUGCCAGGUCCCAUGAGUGCUGCCUCUUGGGGUGAGGCCCUUCUCACAGAUGGAUGAGUGCACCCUGGGCAGGCACGUCUUGGAGAGCUGGUCCUGACCUGUGCAGAGGGAAAUGACUGCCGGUUGAAGGAGUGAAGCUGAGCAGCGCCCACGGAGGGUGAAGCAGGAGGAACUCGAUGCCGCACGGCGUGUCGGUGCCGGAUGGGCAGGUCUGGCAAUUGCAGGUGCCUGUCUCCCGUAUGGGGAGGGGAUGGCAAGCAAGGAUGCUUGAGGGCUGGAGAAGAAGAGUGAUGCCAGGUGUGGCAAGUGCUGGCGGUCAGGGGAGUCCUCUUGCCAAGGCUUCAGGACUGUGAAGCAGAGACUGGAAGAAGAGGUGAAGAGCCCCAGAGAUGGCGGAGGAGAAAACGCACAGCUGUCUCCUGACUUCCCAAUUUGUGUGGCGUCAGGCCCCUGGCCCUGCGGCAUCACGCGGUUGGAACCUGCGGUUUCUGUUUUUCUCCAGCCCAGUCCUGGGUGUUGGGCAUUGACUAGGUAGGGUAGACGACUGGAGAUCGAUCAGGAUGUUUCUGACUGUGGGUCCUGGUCCUUGGAGAGAAGUUUGAGCAGAGAAGGGUGGAAGAUGGAGGCAGAGAGGAUGGUGCAAGGUGUGUUUGUUCUGGAAGGGGGGUGGGGUGGGGUGACAAGUCCCUGGUGUACUGAGCUUCACGCUCCUGGGCCAGCGAUGCUCCGGCAGGAGGUUGUGGCACCAUGGGUGGCCCCUCUCUGUACCGGUGCAAGGCUGUGCUGGUGUACCUGGGAGUCCCGCAAUUGCCUCGGUGUAAAGAAUGGGAAUCGUUCCCCUCCAUUGUGGGCGAUUUCUGGUCCUUUGAGCAGGGUUUGCUUCUGGCAUGGGUGCAGAUCUUGACUCUGUCUAGGCUCUAGCAGGGCAGAGGAUUGGGUGUUUGCCUUGCUGAUGCCAUUACCACAGCUUCCUGCUUCAGUUCUGGGAAUUGUCUGGGGGUAUCACGGAUGGCUUGGAGUCAACAUCACUGCACUAUUUCUGUCUCUGUCUCUUUUGUCCUUUUCUUUGCUCUUCCCAGAAGUGAAGGGGGAGGCCUGUGUGCGCACAUGUAAAUGGCCUCCCUUAGUUGGGAGGGGAGAGCUGUGAGACAGAUCUUGCUGUAUCCUGUCAGCUUUGUGGGAGCUAAGUAGGGUGGUUUUGGGUGGAAGGGGCCCCUGCCGCCAGUGCUGUGAGGCCUGUGAGUUGUGCUGUUUUGUGGUAAUUGCUGCUUUAUCUGCAGCGGGGGGUCUUUUUACCAAGACUUUUGGGGCAGGGAGGAGAAGUGGAGAUUGGGCAGAAGAAGAGAAGACAUCUUGAAGUCAUGAACCAUGGAGCUGCCUGUCAUUGGUGCUUGUGCUGUAGCUCUGUCGUGAGCAGCAGGGCAGGGGCAGUGACAUGCUGAGGGCUGGAGAAGGAGCACCACAAAGAUGGCUGUGGUGAGCAGUAGAUGUUGGUGAUGAGGAGGUGUUCUCUGUGGUGGCCGUGUCCUGCAAACGGUCUGGUUGCUGUGAAGUAGAUGUUUCCUCGGGUUGGAUGUUGAACACCCUGCCCAGGCAGGCCCAAGGGAAGCCUUUGUGAGCUCUGAGUCUGUGGGUGAGGUGGGUUGGCUGCAUCUGCCUGGGGCUUGGGGAGGACCUUCCGCCUACGUUUUGCUUUGCACCUAUUUGUCAUCCGUGUUUUGGGCUGACAAGGCACGUGUGGUUUUUCCCCUGUCCCAGAGGCCUUGGUCAGGCGUGAAGUAUGUGAGCCAGGAGAGUCGUAUAGCACACAGGCAGGAUGGAGGGCAACAAGUCGAGCGGGGGGCUUUUUUGGCCAGGGCUGCUGUGAAAUCUGGUGUAGGGCUGGGCCGGCCGGUCCGAGUCUGUCGGACUCCACGUAUAGGAGAAAUGACGGAUGUCUAAGGAGCUUGUGGGGCGUUUGAUCCGGGCUCAUCCCUGGCACUUGGGGUGCAGGCCUGGCCCCUCUCUGGGGUGUGUUGAGGGUGAGCUCUGGGUUUGCAUUCGUGCCCCUGACUUGCUGUUGCUACAGGCCUCCCUUCAGUCUUGGGAACAGUGCUAUGUCCUGUGUGCCUGGGGGUUUUCACUGGUGUCUCUCUACCUCUUUGCAAAAUGUCUGCAGCACUUGUUCUUUUUCUGCUUUUGUCAGGACUGGAGGGAAGGCUGUGGUGGGUUUUUUUCCUGCCACCUAAAAUGGUUUCCACCUCGGGGAGGGGUCUGACUUCACCCUGUGUGCCCUGUUUAGCCUGAGUGGGGGUAUCGCCGUUGGAUUCUCGGGGGUUGCUUUUGCCCUCAGGGCUGUGAGUCCCGUGUGCCGCGUGACUUUUCCUAAUUUAUUUUUGUUUUGGUGACAUGUACGGGAGUCAUCUGGCUGAGGCUCGAGGCUCCUAAGUGGGCAUCGGGAAGAAGAGGUGGAGACAUAGCGCCUGUGACCUGAAGAAGCUGGUGAAAGAAACGGAUGUCGGCGCAUUCGCUUUGCGGUUGCCCGGCGUGAGACUUCUGCCCGUGCGGUGGCCCUGGGCUGGAAGCCUUGCUGCGUGGAGCCUGCGAUAGAUGUUGGAUUGCUGCUCCCUGUGUGGUGAGGAGGAUGGGCUGCAAUGACCGGAGGCCUGGAAAAGGAGCCGUGUGGCCAGGGUCCUGGCCUGCAUGGAGGCAAGUAGGUGAGAGGACUGCAUCGUGGAAGAGCUGUGGGCCGGUGUUGGAUGACAGACACGGACCGGCAGGAUGUUGCCCACUAUGUGGAAUGUCCCUUCUGUAUUGGGAUUGUGCGUGGGGGUGUGGGGUGGGAUUGGGAGUGUCCUCAGCUUUAUGAUCCUGGAGCCAGGGGUUUUGGAAGUAGUAUGUUUGGGUCAGUUUGUGUGUGCUGUGGGUGGACCUAGGGUGACCAGAGGUGAAAUCCAUUCCUGUGACCCUGCAGUUGGAGCAGCACCCAGACACUCGCAGGAACCGCUGGCCAAGCAGGCCCAGAGCUUCCAACUGUUGAGCACAGCAAGGUUUGAGCCAGCUAGCAUGGAAGCAGGAGGGCCGGCCGGGCGCGGGGCCCGGGCUGCCUCUGUGGCUUCUGUGCUAGUGAGGUUGAGAAUUGCAGUGCUGGGGGGUUGGAGGUUUUGGACGUGCUUGUGCAGGGUUCUUGUUGGUGUUGGGGUGCUGGUUCUGCUGGGUCAGAGCAAUGGGUUUUAUUCUGCCUGGCUGCCAUGUUUACAGUGUCCUGCAGGGCUGGGAGCCUGUCGUAGCAGUGUGUGUUUGGCUGGGGCGGGGUGGUUGUCUGGUUUGGUCCCUGAGCAGUGGUGUGGUGAGCAUGUUUGUUAUUACCCUGAAAUGAAAUAGUUUUCUGAUAGCAUACUGUUAGGUUAACAAUAAUUUAGAUUAUUAAGAAGUAUUAGCUUUGCAGCUGAAUACAAGGCAUGACCUGUGGCCCAGCAAUGGCGCUGACCACAAGGCAGAAUGAUAGCUAAGUCUUUGCUUAUGUUAAGUAAUCAUUUUAACUGUGUUGACCAUUUUCUGAGUAAAAUGCAGCAAGUGAAUCUGUGUCUGUGUGCUGUAAACCAGAUACAGCAAGGAACAAGAUAAGAGGAAGAAGCCAUUGUUCUAAGUAUAGAGAUCGUGUCCUUAAGAAGUAUCUAGUACUGUGCAAGUUUUUGCUAACAUAUCAUAAUGUUACUGUUACUUAGGUUAGAAACUAUUGUUGGAAAAUCCAUGUGACCUUUGUAUGACCUUUGGUCAAUGCUGGCUGAUGCAACCUUGCAGUAAGAUUGCCAUGAUCUGUCAAUAUAGGCGGGCAAACAAGGUGAUUGGGCCCAACCGUGUGGGGCGAGUAAAGCCAAGCCAUCUUGGUGAUUUCCUCUGAAUUUUGCGCAUGCGUUAUGAAGGAGCUUAUGGAACCAGAGUUUAUAAAUCUAUGUGUUGAGUUGCAGUCGGGGGUCUCUCUGCCCUUACGAGGACGGGGGACCUUUGGCUGAAUAAACUGAGAAGACCACACCCUCGUCUCCUCCUUAUUGGAGUCUCAGCUGGGAAACGAGCCCUGUUCGGGUUAAGAGAGUCUGCAGGUGUUCCCUUACCAGACUGGGAGCCUGGUCAGACAAUUUCUCUCACAAUUUGGGGAGCCAGCCAGGAGCACCCAGCUCGUCGCGCUGCCGCUGCCGCCUAAACCCAACCUCCGGCCGGCCGUAACAGAGGUGAGUUCACCACGGGAGUCUUGGGUUGAGGCUGCAGACACGGCGGGACGAUAAGGUGACUCCUUCAAUUUUACUGGCAUGGUGCGGUCUUUUAUAUGUUGUGUAUGUCUUGUCUAAUGUGUUAUAGGCCAGUCUGUUCUCCGGUUCCUCAAACCUGGGCACACAGGCAAUUUUAGUUAGUUGCCCGUUUGACUCCUUUGAGCCGAUAAAUCUGUGUGGCGUGUUUUAUGUCUCCAUUCGCGCACUGAGGAACCGUCUCUGUUUCUGACCUUUUAACUGGAUAAGUCCUCCAACCUGUUUGGGGCAUCCUAGAGCCUGCCUUUCCAGAUUGGUUAGGUCUAGGGCAGCCAAGAAAGCAGGGUUUUUGGGGAGCUUUAUAGUAUAUCGGGUCAUCCGGGAAAGGGACAUCUGCCAAGAGUGACGAUGGGACAGAAACAGUCAAUUCCCGCUAGUAGUCCUCUUGGAGAAUUGUUAAGCAACUGGAAUAAGUUAUCUGGACAUGGCCAAUUGAGUAAGAAGCGUGCUAUAGUCUUAUGCACUAGUGUCUGGCCUGGCUACACUUAUGAAAACCCUGAACUUUAGUGGCCAGUGUUGGGAUCCCUCGGUGUAGAUAAAUUAAGGUACCUCAGGGGGUUCCUAGAGGAACCCGAUCCCCGACAAAUGGAUUAUUGGUAUCUCUGGUGUGAUUUUGAUGGAUUUAAUUCUGCAGAGAAAAAAAACAACCUGAUUACUUCUGGCAGCUCAACAAUGUCUGCGGUGUCUCCUCCCUCUUAUUCUCCCACUAUGCCACCACCGGUGACUAGGGGACCGGCCGUAAUAAACCUGGCCGCUUCGGCCGUGGCCCUUCCGGCACCUUUUACCCGUCCAUCAGGCUCCUCUCCUCCCGUAACAGGAGUGUCAGGGUCUGUACCUGCAUCCUCGGAGCCUACUUUCAGUCCCAUAGCAGGACAUACUAGGUAGCCUUUGAAUCAGGUCAUACACCUGCUCUUGUACACGUGUAAUCACAUGUGCACACUCCCCAUCACAGAUGCAGUCACGCCUGCUCAGAGUCCCUUACAGACAUGCGCCGGCACAGAACCCCAAAACACACUGCAAUAUACACGUGCCCCAACAGGUGUCUGUGACACUUGCACACAAAUGUGCAGCCUCGCACACACGCAUGUUCAGUCUCGCACACGCACCCAGAGCCCAGGUGCCUGUGACACAUGCGCAUGCUCACACACACACAGAACCCAGGUGUCUGACACAUGCAUGUGUGCUCCUGCGCACACAGUCUAGCACACAUGUACAGAAUCCAAGUGUCUGUGGCACACAGGCAAGUACCCUGACAUUCACAUUCAGACACACACACAACCCCACAUGGGUAGAUAUGAAUCAACCUGCCCCCCAAUGAUGUGUGCAAUUAUCGUAAACAAUUGGGGCAUUGGAGACGAGAACGCCCAAACCGCCCUAAGGGACUUGCCCCUUAUGGAGGAAGAAAGGGGGGAAGCCAGGGAAACAACCGGGCUGCGAGCACCGAUCCUACAGAUCCCUGGGUCCAGGGUUUGCAACAAGAUAUAGAUGACUCCCCAGUGAAAUAAGGGGGCGGCUGUUCCACAUGAUGUAUCUAGGGGAAUCUUCCUCUUUUGAGUAUACCUGCGCCCCUUCAUCCCCUUAUGUACCACUUCAAAUAGCAGGAAAAUUUAUAAAUGUCUUAUAGAUAGAGGAGCAGAUCUGUCCUCACUGGGAGAAUCUCCAGAAAGGGCGGGAAUUGCAGUCUCAGGAUCUGAAAAGAUUAUGAGAGUAAUUGGAAAAUCUAUGCAAGUGCCUCGUGGUGCUGAAACACAAGUGCAGAUAGGACCCUUGACCACUAUUCAUGCUUUCCUAUUAGCUGAAGGAACUCCAGUGCACCUCCUUGGAAGAAAUCUACUCUAUAAACUACAGACCAGAAACCCUUCACCCUAUUUACUCAUGAGAAUAAAGGCAUUGCUUCAGGUGUCUUAACUCAGCCAUGGGGAGUUUCUGAUUGUCCCAUAGCAUACUAUUCUGCUCAGUUAGAUCCUGUAGCAAGGGCAGCAGUCCUUGUCUUAGAGGAGUUGCUGCUGCCACCGUGCUAGUUCAAAAGGCUCAAGAUUUAGUGUUAGGACACUCUUGUGGUUCAAGUAUCUCAUUCAGUGCAAGCUCUCCUACUACAGCAGAACCUCUGCCAGCAGGGACCAACGCCCAGGCUGCUGAGCUAGCGGCACUCCGAUGAGCAUGCAAAUUGGCCACAGCCUCCAGGGUCACUAUCUAUACUGACUCUAAAUAUGCUUUUGGUAUCUGUCACGCGCUAGGAGAGUUCUGGCGACAAAGAGGUUUUAUCACGUCCUCUGAUCCUGUAAUCAGCAAUGCCACCGAAGUCCAAGAACUGCUAGAGGCUGUCGUGUUACCAGGUGAUAUAGCGGUAAUGCAUUGUCCCAGACAUUCCAGAGAAGAUACUGACAUUGCUAAAGGAAAGCAUCUUGCAGAUGCUGCAGCUAGAGCCGCUGCACUACAAACCAACGAAAGUCUCCUUGCAUCUCAAGUAGUUCUUCCACCCUUGUCUGUGAUUUAUGACAAAGUCCCAGGGGAUGAAGUAUCUAUAUGGGUCCAAAAGUGGGAAGCUGCGCAAGGAAACGAUGCAGUGUGACGUGUGCCAGACGGUAGACCAAUUGCUCCUCGCACCUUGCUCCGAACUCUGGCUCAGGAUGCCCACAGAUGCUGUCAGUCGGGGAAAAGGAGAAAUAGCAGAACAGGUCCUCUCCACCUGGUUUGCUCCAGGUAUACAUCUAGAAGCUGCCCGAAUAACUUUGCAAUGUUCAGAGUGCAGAGCCUUCAACAAAUAGAUAGGACACAUAAAAUUGCAAGGGGCCUGACCAUGGGCCUAUUUACCCUUUGAAAAAUGACAUGGAUGUGCUCAAAGCUUGAAAUUUCAAGCACUGCCUAGUAGUGGUAGAUCAACUAACAGGAUGGCCAGAAGCUUUCCCCACUCGAGAAGCAGAUUCAGUAGCAGUAGCUAAACACUUAAUAAAAGACAUCAUCCCACAUUUCGGCAUUCCAGGAGGAAUAAACUCUGACCGAGGAACUCACUUUACAGAAACUGUUUUAAAAGAAGUUUACAGAGUUUUUGGAAUAAUAACGUACUUCCGCACACCCUAUCACCCUCAGUCCUCGGGUCAGGUAGAGAGUAUGAAUCGGUAUAAAAUCCCUUUUAGGAGAGGUCUGCUCCUAAACCAAAUUGAAAUGGUCAGAUGCUUUACCAAUGGUGCUGUUCGCUAUAAGAACAAAACCCAAAUGGCCUCUCAACCUUGUCCCCCUAUGAGUUGUUGUUUGGUCACACUCCUGUUAUAUAGGAGAUGGGAAAAUCUGCAUGUUAGCUUACUUGGCGGAGAUGAAGCUUUAAUUAGUUAUGUUUUAUCCUUACAGGAGUCUCUCUAGUGUUUACACAGGUCAGCUGCUUUGGUUCAGCCGGUACCCCUGGACUGUAACCUUCACCCCUAUCAAUCAAGACGCUGAGUUUGGGUAAAACAACAUCGUCGAAAAACCGCCUAUACACGCUGCUGUGAAAAUCGCCGAGAAAGAGGGCUGGAUUCAUCGCGGUCACCUCAAACAUGGUAUCGGCAAGUAAUGACCGGUCAGCUGCUGUUCCGCCUUUGUGGCUAGAAAGAAUCGGAGAAUCGUGGACCGUUCAGACUCCUUAAUAGAAAUGAUACGUGUAUUAAGCUUGCUUUGUAUUAUCUUUCUUGUAAUACUUUGUGUUUGUAUUUCACUGUAGACGCAGGGAAGGUUAUAAGUUAAUAAUGGCAUUUCACUGGGCUAUCCUAACAGGAUUAUUGCUGUCGAUGGAUAAAACACCACAGCUGUUUAUGGGAAAGUGAUACAGAACAGGAAGACCAGUGGAAAGAUAAUACUUACCUGACUUCCACUAUAGCUAUAGCACAGGCCCUAAAAUAUGUGUAAUGGUUGGAUAUGUGGUACACAGCCUCCUUCUACUAACUUUCCACGCUAUCCUUUAAUCCCUUGGGAAGGGAUUUUUUCUAAUACAGAGUGGGUUGAUACGGAUAGAGCUGGCAUAAGUACCUGGCAGGACAAUCCUUAUUUUAAAGAGAAAGUACUUUCAGACAUCAUGUUAUCUGCCCAGGUGUUGGGAAAAUCCUCGUGGAACAGGAAAAGAGAUUUUUAGGAUGGCAACCAGGUUGUAAACUAAGCAUUAAUGCCACACACUUAAUCUGGCCUAACAAUACUGCAGUGGGGGCUAAAGAAGCUGAAAAGAAAGGUUACAUCCCCUGGGAUGUGUCUGCUCCCUGCAGUUCCUUGCAGCGUCCUUAUGUAUGGCAAUGUGUGGAAGGUUCUAUCCGAUGCUCCGCCCCUAAUAAAACUUGGGCUUGGAGUCACGGCUGUAUCAUGUCUUGCAUAUACAGCUCCUUUGCAAAGCCAAGUUGUUUGUAUGUUAACUAUACCAUUUACAGAGACGGUUCAGUACCUUGUCCCAGAGAUCCUCAUACUACCGCAUCAAUCAACUAGCACGUGUAUUAGAACUUAUUGCCAAUAGCACAGCAGAGGGCAUUGAAUUAUUGCAAGACCAGGCUUCUUGCAACCAUGCUAUGACUUUAGAAAAUCAGUUAGCUUUAGACUAUUUGUUAGCUAGAGAAGGAGGGGUAUGUGCUUUAAUCACAGGAGGACCCUGCUGCACCUAUAUUCCUGACCACUCUGACAACAUAACUGCUGCAGUAGAAACAAUUCGAGACACAGCACGACAGGUAAACUCUUUGCGAAGUUGGUCAGUAAUAGAAUGGAUUGCCUCAACUUUAGGAAUGUGGAGAAGGUAUAUCUUAGAAUACAUUUUAUGGGGAUUAGGAAUCUUCUUGGUUUUUAUCCUAAUAAUUGCUGUAAUUAGAGCCUGUGUAGUUUGAGUUAAGCAAAAAGUAAUUAAUCUCAAUAUUAUGCAAACCUGGGAAAUGGCCAGCAGGCCAUAGGCCUGUGGCUGUAAGGGGGGAAAUAAACGGCAGUAAAUCUUUACCUGCGUUGCUUGGUUUCUAUUGCAGCUAGACAACAAACUCCUGGGAGUUUUCUCCCACCACAGCAGGAAGGAGGAUGUUGAAGGUUUCUGAGCCAUAAGCUCGAGCUCUCUCUUUGGAAGGGGUGUUAGAAAAUAUUGUUAGAAAAUUAAUGUGACCUCUGUAUGACCUUGGAUCAAUGCUGGCUGAUGCAACCUUGCACUAAGAUUGCUGCUGAUAUGUCAAUCUCGGCGGACAAGCAAGGUGAUUGGGCCCAACCAUGCAGGGUGAGCAAAGUCAUGCCAUUUUAGCAAUUUUCUGCUGGGUUUUGCGCACGUGUUAUGGGAAAGGCUUAUGUAACCAAAGUUCAUAAAUAUGCGUUGAGUUGCAGUCGGGGUCUCUCUGCCCUUACGAGGACAGGGGACCUUCAGCCGAAUAAACUGAAAAGACCACACCCUCGUCUCCUGCUUAUUGGAGUCUCAGCUUGGAUAGGAGCCCCGUUAGCGUUAAGAGAGUCUGAAGGUGUUCCUUUAUGAGAUUGGGAGCCUGGCCAGACAAUUUCUCUCAUGGGGAAAGCAGAGCCGUCUGUUACUCAGCUUUGUUUUGUUGUUGCCCCUAGUGGAGGUAUUGCAAAAAUGUAUCAUCUCACUACACAAAAGGCUUCUCAGCUGAAAACUGUAAACUGCAAAUAGUUUCUUUUUCUCUCUCCCGCAUCACUGCGGGGCCAGGGGCGGGGGGGGGGGGGGGGGGGUCGUGUUAGGGGGAGAGAACAGUCUGAACAAUGCUUGGUUCACGAUAAGGCUGACUCCUGUGGGAACACAGAUUAGUUACUGCCUGCUUUGCACAUAAACUUUGCAGAAAAGUAGCAAAUGACAGAUUGCCACAAUGGAAUCUUGUUCAGGAGAGGUAUAAAAAUUUAUCGUUGGGCAUGGCUAGGGGUCAACAUGACUUUGAGCUUUGAGCUCCGUUGUCGAUCUGUUUGCAAACAAACAUACUUGAAAUGGAUCCAGCCUAAGUGUGUAUAACUCUCUUGAGGUAUAUAGCAAAAGCCUCCAGAAACACGAAACUAGCUGUUUGUGCAACAGAGGCACAACUGGGAAGCACCCCCCUCCCCCUGUCAGCUUAACCACCCUCUCGUCUGUCCAAGGCCCCUGCCUUGUAGUGCCUCUUGGGCCUGUGUGGUGUUGCUGGUCGUUGUGUUUUUUUUUGGGGGGGGGGGGGGAGUGUGAGGAGGGUGCAGCCAAGGUGAUGGCUCCUGUGGAGAAGGGGAGUAGAAGCAGAAGUAGUUAUGAAGAGCCUGGGUGCUGGGCUGAUGUCGUGGGAGAAAACUCCCUGGUGUUCGUUGUCUAGCUGGCUUAGAGACCAGACAACAGGGAUGAAGGGGUAACUGCAGUUUAUUUACUCGAGUAAAGACCAUAAAACAGCAAAGAGGUAAAAUGGCCUUGACUUAAGGGUGAGGCUGUUUUAUAUACAUUUUCUAAGAAAGAAACUACAAGGUUAUUGAAUAUGCAAUACUUAUGGUAAUCAUCUCCUUACAUGGUGCAUUACAAAUCUCAGUACUUUUGCAGAGGAAGAAAGUUAGUGUUACCUUACACAUUGCAAUCUGUUUUCCUGUGCUCUGCUGUACCAUCUUCUUCCCUCUGGGCCCCCCCCUUAUCUUAUCUGACUCCUAGCUGCAGCUGGUACCCAGUGAACAGACUUAAUUUCCGCUUUUUUGUAACAAAAUGGUUAGGGCACUUGACAUAAGAAAAUGGCUGGCUUAGAGAUCAUUCUGUCUUGUGCUCAGCAACACUGCUAGGCCACAGGUCAUGCCUAGUGUUUAGCUAUGAAGCUAAUACUAUUUAAUAAUCUAAAUUACCCUGAAAUUAAAUAGUUUUCUAUAGUAUACUGUUAACAAGAAAGACAAACUUGCCUAUCACUCUGAGUGUGAGGUGUAAGAGGUGCCAGGAGGAUGUGUGGGGUCUGAGUUGUGCCCUGGUGUGUGCUUGGUGGGGUGAGAGGGGUGCGAAGCUGCCUGGGUGUGGUGGGAUCCUGCUCUGCUCCCUCGCUUGUUUGCUUUGUUUGGUGAUGUUUGUGUGUGUCCUUGUGUUGUUUGUGUUGUGCCUGUUUGUUGUGAGGCUGGCAAUGUUUUCUUCCUGGUGGUUUGUUUUGUACAUGGCUUUUGCUCACCUCCUGUCUGCUGAGUUUUUUGUAUGUAACAUGUAGAGGAACUUGUGGGCCAGCCUGGAAAAAUAAAAUAAAGGAGAAAUGGUUUUGGCA